AUGAUAGAGAAGUACAACCUGGAAAGUCACACCUACCUGGCCCAGGUAUACGAGCUUCGGUACAAGUGGGCGAAGCCGUUUUUCAAAGAUGUAUUCUGUGCAAAGAUGACAAGCACGCAGCGGAGCGAGAGCGCUAACAGCAUGCUGAAGUCUUAUCUCCCUCCCGGCUGUCCGAUGCACAUGUUUGUGAAGCAUUACAUGCGGCUGCAGUUCGCUCGAGAUGCAGAUGAGAGUUAUGAAGAAAAACGGAAUAAAAUUUUGAGUAUGACAUUUUUUGAUUGGUUUUGGUUAGUUUGGAACUGCCUGUUCUACCUUAAACCACCUGCGUUUGGUUGCAGUCUGACUUGGAAAAGUGUUGUUUUGUGGUCACAGGGUGGCGCGGUGGUGAAGUGCAAUAUGUCUCUUGAGAGGCAUGAUGGCAAGAUUUACAUGAGGGCGAUGUUUGAGAAGCUCAGUGAUCUACUGUAUCAGGCACAUGCAUAUCGCACUACUAGGAAAACGGCUAUAGCUAAUAUGGACAUUAAUGGCGCACCACAUAUGUGGUGCGCCACUGCUAUAUAG
rnacentral:rRNA from 1 species